AACGAACGCUGGCGGCAGGCCUAACACAUGCAAGUCGAGCGCGCCCUUCGGGGUGAGCGGCGGACGGGUGAGUAACGCGUGGGAACGUGCCCUUUUCUACGGAAUAGCCUCGGGAAACUGAGAGUAAUACCGUAUACGCCCUUUGGGGGAAAGAUUUAUCGGAAAAGGAUCGGCCCGCGUUGGAUUAGGUAGUUGGUGGGGUAAUGGCCUACCAAGCCGACGAUCCAUAGCUGGUUUGAGAGGAUGAUCAGCCACACUGGGACUGAGACACGGCCCAGACUCCUACGGGAGGCAGCAGUGGGGAAUCUUAGACAAUGGGGGCAACACUGAUCUAGCCAUGCCGCGUGAGUGAUGAAGGCCUUAGGGUUGUAAAGCUCUUUCAGCUGGGAAGAUAAUGACGGUACCAGCAGAAGAGGCCCCGGCUAACUCCGUG
rnacentral:rRNA from 1 species